GGAGGCGUGCCCGAGAGGCUGAAGGGGCUCCCCUGCUAAGGGAGUAUGUGAGCAAAAACUUGCAUCCAGGGUUCGAAUCCCUGCGCCUCCG
rnacentral:tRNA from 1 species